rnacentral:snoRNA from 1 species
AGCCUCCUGGUGCUUACACAGACUGUGUUCUUACACUGAUUGUAUAGAAAGAGAAGGCAAAGUAAAUUUACCCCAUAUACAUCUCAACCCAGGCCCUGUGCCUGGUCUGUAUUGUGAAUGGGGCGACGUGC